rnacentral:rRNA from 1 species
GACGGAGGGUGCAAGCGUUGUUCGGAAUUACUGGGCGUAAAGAGCGUGUAGGCGGCCAGGUAGGUCUGGUGUGAAAACUCGAGGCUUAACCUCGAGAUGUCAUCGGAAACCAUCUGGCUAGAGUCCGGAAGAGGAGAGUGGAAUUCCUGGUGUAGCGGUGAAAUGCGCAGAUAUCAGGAAGAACACCCGUGGCGAAGGCGGUUCUCUGGGACGGUACUGACGCUGAGACGCGAAAGCGUGGGGAGCGAACAGG